rnacentral:lncRNA from 1 species
GAAUUAAAGGAAAGAGAAGUCUUAUCUAAGAAAGUUGUNGGAAUUCUUUAAAUUCUUUUUCUUAAUUUCCUUUCUCUUCAGAAUAGAUUCUUUCAACAAGUAAUUUGUAGUAAUGACUGUGUUGACUUCAAUUUUUGGAGUGUAGUAGCUAUGUUAAAGAUUAACUAUUUGGUCUUAUUGAAGCCAACACAGAACUUGCUGCUGUGUUUUUUCUUCAGUGAUAAAUAAAAUACUUACAGAAUUUGUUUUAGUGUUGAUUUGUGAUCGUAAAGUGUUAUAUAAUGGUAAGUUUGCAUUUUCAGCUGAAGUUUAUUUUACUUGAGUUUGUAUCAGUGCCAUUAAAUGUCUCAAUGUUCAAUAUCAAAGAAAAAAGAAAACAACCUUAAUUAUAACACAGAAAGCAAAUGCAGCUAGGGCAUUUCCUAUAAAGUGCCCUCCUUUCUUAACUGAAACUCCUUAAUUUCACCUGGUGGGGGGCAUGACUUAAUUUUAGAGAAUGUUAUUUACUAAAUUUUAGUGGCUGUGGGCACGGGAAAUUUGAUUGUUACUGAGCACUGUUGAGAGUUCCUGUUGGUACAGUUACAAGGCCAGAAGAGGGACUGUUGAUGCUUUUUGACUUAAUCAGAUGCAGCUUUUCUGUUAUCAGUGAUCAGUUUUAAACACUUCAUUUCUGGUGUAUGAAACAUGUGGAAGUCUUAAAAGCUCUUCUGUGAGAAUCUUUUCUUUCAUAAAAAGAUCAGUGAUUAUCUGGGGCAAUGA